rnacentral:rRNA from 1 species
AUGAACGCUGGCGGCGUGCCUAAUACAUGCAAGUCGAACGCUGAAGGCAGGAGCUUGCUCUUUCCGGAUGAGUUGCGAACGGGUGAGUAACGCGUAGGUAACCUGCCUGGUAGCGGGGGAUAACUAUUGGAAACGAUAGCUAAUACCGCAUAACAGUAGAUGUUGCAUGAUAUCUACUUAAAAGGUGCAAUUGCACCGCUACCAGAUGGACCUGCGUUGUAUUAGCUAGUUGGUGAGGUAACGGCUCACCAAGGCGACGAUACAUAGCCGACCUGAGAGGGUGAUCGGCCACACUGGGACUGAGACACGGCCCAGACUCCUACGGGAGGCAGCAGUAGGGAAUCUUCGGCAAUGGACGGAAGUCUGACCGAGCAACGCCGCGUGAGUGAAGAAGGUUUUCGGAUCGUAAAGCUCUGUUGUAAGAGAAGAACGAGUGUGAGAGUGGAAAGUUCACACUGUGACGGUAUCUUACCAGAAAGGGACGGCUAACUACGUG